UACGGAGGGGGCUGCGUUGUUCGGAAUUACUGGGCGUAAAGCGCACGUAGGCGGACUGGAAAGUUGGAGGUGAAAUCCCAGGGCUCAACCUUGGAACUGCCUUCAAAACUCCCAGUCUAGAGUUCGAGAGAGGUGAGUGGAAUUCCGAGUGUAGAGGUGAAAUUCGUAGAUAUUCGGAGGAACACCAGUGGCGAAGGCGGCUCACUGGCUCGAUACUGACGCUGAGGUGCGAAAGCGUGGGGAGCAAACAGGAUUAGAAACCCUUGUAGU
rnacentral:rRNA from 1 species